rnacentral:rRNA from 1 species
UAUUAGUCAAUGCUCGCAAGAGUGAACUAGCUAACUGAAAUCAAAGGUGUGUCACCUUUGAUAAGGUAAGGGAAAAGAAAAGAUACUACCUUACUAUUAGUGUCGUCCAAGUACUCGUGCCAGAAGACUCGGUAAGGCGAGAGACGCAAACGUUAGUCGUCUUGAUCAGGCGUAAAGGGUUUGUAGGCGGCUUUAAGAAUGGAUUUCUUCUAAAUUACACUCUUAUUUAAGAUCAUUACUUAAGAACAUGGAAGGAAAAAAUCAAUUAAAGCUAGAAUCAAAUAGAGGUCAAAUUAAAUAAUACUUGGUGUAAGAUUGGUAUCUUUAAAAACCAAGCGGAAUACUAACGGCGAAGGCUUUUUUCCAUUAAUGAUUGACGCUGAGAAACUAAGGUGAGGACAGAAAAAAGGAUUAGAGACCCUCGUAUCCCUCACUGUCAACGAUGAAUGGUAGUUACUAGAUAAAUAAUAAAAUAUUUCUAGAGACGAUGUUAACACGAAAACCAUUCCGCCUUGUGAGUACGACUGCAAAGUUGAAAACAAAAAAAUUAGUCGGUUUCGGAGCAAACGAAGUGAAGCAUGUUAUUUA